rnacentral:rRNA from 1 species
AACGAACGCUGGCGGCAGGCCUAAAACAUGCAAGUCGAACGCCCCGCAAGGGGAGUGGCGCACGGGUGAGUAACGCGUGGGAACGUGCCCUUCAGUACGGGACAACGUCGGGAAACUGACGCGAAUACCGGAUAAUGACUCCGGUCCAAAGCUUUAUCGCUGAAGGAGCGGCCCGCGUCUGAUUAGCUAGUUGGUGAGGUAAUGGCUCGCCAAGGCUACGAUCAGUAGCAGGUCUGAGAGGAUGAUCUGCCACACUGGGACUGAGACACGGCCCAGACUCCUACGGGAGGCAGCAGUUAGGAAUAUUGGACAAUGGGGGAAACCCUGAUCCAGCCAUGCCGCGUGUGUGAUGAAGGCCCUAGGGUUGUAAAGCACUUUCGUUGGGGAUGAUAAUGACCGUACCCAAAGAAGAAGCACCGGCUAACUUCGUGCCAGCCGCCGCUGUAA